rnacentral:rRNA from 1 species
CCUGGCUCAGGAUGAACGCUAGCGACAGGCCUAACACAUGCAAGGUCGAGGGGCAGCACAAGGAGUAAUCUGAGGUGGCGACCGGCGCACGGGUGAGUAACACGUAUGCAACCUGGCUGUAAGAAGGGGAAUAACCCGGAGAAAUCCGGACUAAUACCGCAUAAUACUUAGGAUCCGCAUGGAUUUUUAAGUUAAACAUUUAUGGCUUACAGAUGGGCAUGCGUAUGAUUAGCUGGUUGGAGAGGUAACGGCUCCCCAAGGCAACGAUCAUUAGGGGUUCUGAGAGGAAGGUCCCCCACACUGGUACUGAGACACGGACCAGACUCCUACGGGAGGCAGCAGUGAGGAAUAUUGGUCAAUGGACGCAAGUCUGAACCAGCCAAAGUCGCGUGAAGGAAGAAUGUCCUAUGGAUUGUAAACUUCUUUUAUAAGGGAAUAAAGUGAGGGACGUGUCCCUUUUUGUAUGUACCUUAUGAAUAAGGAUCGGCUAACUCCGUGCCAGCCGCCGC